rnacentral:rRNA from 1 species
GCAAGUCGAACGGUAACAGGAUAGCUUGCUAUCGCUGACGAGUGGCGGACGGGUGAGUAAUACUUAGGAACAUGCCUUUGUGUGGGGGAUAACUAUUGGAAACGAUAGCUAAUACCGCAUAACGUCUUCGGACCAAAGGGGGCUUCGGCUCCCGCGCAGAGAGUGGCCUAAGCGAGAUUAGCUUGUUGGUGAGGUAAGAGCUCACCAAGGCGACGAUCCCUAGCUGGUCUGAGAGGAUGAUC